AUGUCUUAUAACUUGGUUGCAACUCGACUUCCAUUUUUGUUGUACGGGGAGAGGCACCAAUUGCUUGUCCGACAACAGGCACACAACUACAUGUCUGCUAACUUGGUCGCAACUGGGGAAAUUUGUUUUGUCGGAGGGGGUGACAUCGAUAGAGAGGGGGCUAGUUGCAUGUCUUAUAACUUGGUCACAAUUCAGCUUUCAUUUUUUUGUACGGGGAAAGGGGGCAGUUGCAUGUCCCACAGUAGGACACGCAACCGCAUGUCUUCUAACUUGGUCGCAACUGGGGACCUUUGUUUUGUCGGAGGAGGCGGCGUUGAGAGAGAGGGGGCCAGUUGCAUGUCCCAUACUAGGAACGCAACUGCAUGUCUUCUAACUUGGUCGCAACCGGGGGGCUUAUUUUGUCGGAGGGAGCGGCGUCGAGAGAGAGGGGGCCAGUUGCAUGUCCCACACUAG
rnacentral:rRNA from 1 species